rnacentral:misc_RNA from 1 species
CAGCUACAACAAAAAAGCGUAACUCUCGGAUCUCGUAAAUUUAUAAGAAAUUUAAUUAUUCAACCCGCCAGUGGACGACAGCAAUCGAAUUAAAUUAGCCCGGGGUGUGCGACCAUCACUUGUGGGCCAUUGCGAAUUGAUGGAUAUCGAGAUUCCCCAAGAAUUGGCCACAAUCAGCGCGAAAAAGCUCCCACUCACCGCGCGGUGUGUGUAGUAAAAUCAAAUCGUAAAUCGUGAGGCGAGUGCGUGUGGUGGUGCUACUAUUCAGCAUAUACUUUAGGGUGGUGCGGGCCGUGGUGCUGCAGUGCAUCCAUGUACGUUUCUAUGUGGCGGCAUUUUGAUGACGAAAUUAUUUUUGGAUAAGUGCGUGAGGAAAGUGGCCAAAUCGGAGGAGUCAUCACCAUCAACGCCAGCAGAAUGGAAAGCGAGCGGCUGCGAAUCACGCUGGACAGCGCGGAUCGGGUUUACUUUGCGGGCGACAUAAUUCGCGGCGAGAUCUGGAUGAACGUCAACAAGCGCUCCAAAAUACGCGCCAUCAAGGUGCAGGUCACCGGCAAGGGCAAAUGCAAAUGGAUGGAGAUCCUGCGCAAGAACUCGAACAACAACGAGUACUCCCGCAGCCUGUUCUACACCAGCAAGGAGGUGUACGAGCACAGCGAGACGCCUCUGCCGGAUUUCGAGCCGCGUGGCCUGGAACUUUCGGCUGGGGAGCAUACGUUCAUCUUCGAGGUAGCGCUGGGUCGCCAGCUACCCUCGACUUUCAAGGGCAGCUAUGGCGCCAUCAAGUACAAGAUGCGCGUGCUCAUCCAGCGACCGUGGACCUUCGACGAGCGCCACACGAUUCCGUUCACCGUGGUGAAGAACAUGCCGCUCCAGCCCAUGCAACGCAGCAUACCCAGUUCGCUGGAGAAGCAGGUGACCAAGACGAUCAGUUUGUUUGGCACUAGACCGAUCACCCUGCUGGCCCUUCUCCCCGAGGAUUUUGCGGUGCGCGGAGAGCCGCUUAGGAUUUGCGCCACUGUGAUCAACAACAGCACCACCGCCGUGGAGAAGCUGCGCUUCACCGUCCUGCAGUACGUGACCUACUACAGCCAUGUGCCACUGCGGGUGCAGAAGGUGGAGUGCAUCGCGGUGGCCACCAAGGAGACGGGCUCGGUGCAGAAGAAGACCGAGCGAAGCUUUGCGCACGAGCUGCUCCUGCCCGAUGGAGCUCAGCCUACGGAUGAACAGAUGAGCGGCGUCAUCACCAUUGUAUACGAGCUGCGUGUGGAGGCGGUGCUGCGUGGAUUCUUUAAGAACUUGAUCCUUAAUCUGCCCUUCAAGGUGUACUCGCAGGAUCCAUCGAAUAGGCAGAGUUCGCUGCGUCCGCCGCCACCGCCACGGCCAAACGAUGGACCACCUGGUCCGGAUCUGGGCUCCGGCAAUCUGUUUGAGCCCGCCCUGCCGGUCUACCCCUCACUGGACUCUUCCAUUGGCUCGCCCUCGCACUCCUCGCAGUUUAGCGAGUGCAGCUCCAUCAACUCGAUAACCUCGGACUCCUCGGCGGCCACUCUGAGUCCUGCCGUGGGCGCUGGAACCGGUGGCAUGGAUAUGUCGUACACUUCGGGCUCCCAGUCCUCGCAGUAUGGUAGUCCCUUGGCCAGGGCCAGCUUGCGCAGCUCCAACGUGCCCUACAUGCCCUACUCGUCCAGUCCGCUUAUGGUGCAGUCGUAUCCGCCACCCCACCUGCCCGCCUACCCGCUGCCGGAGUCGCCGCAGUACUCGCUCCUUGCGCUCACACCACCGCCGACCGGAGUGGUCGCCGCCCCGCCAACAGGCGGUGGAGCAGCAGGAGGAGCUCCGGCCUAUAGCCAACUGCCAUCCACCUCGGCCUCAGCAUCGUUCCUGCAGCCUCGCCAGGCGCCUGGAGCCCAUGAGCUGCCACCUUCCUACGAAGAGCUCUUCGGCUUGGCCAACGCCCCUCCGGGAACUCCAAAGUGAGGAGUGAUAGGCAGUCCUGAGCAGCCACCCAGUUACGUCCAAGCUUUGCCUAGACAUAGAGCUUCAGGUUUACUUUAUAGUGUUAUUGAGCAUCAGAAUAUCGAAUAUAUCCUAGACGACCGCCUACGCUACGAGCACAAACCAUAUGCAAAUUGUGCACAAAUCAAGUUAUACGCUGAUAUAUCAAUUUUAUUUUCACCUUUGAUUGCACCGAUUUUGAAACUAAGUUCGGAUAGGGCAAAUCGGUUUCCAGUCUGAUAUUAAUUUGCAUUUUUUGUAUACACAUUGAUAUUGCAAUACUUUUUGUUCAACUGUAUUUUUUUCGACAAAAAUCACAAUUGUUUUUUUUUCCCUUGUCCCUCAUAACUUGAAUUUGAAUAGCCAGAAAAUAUUGAAAUUUAUUAUAUACUUGCGAAGUAUAUCGAAUCCUAACCGAAAACUAUUUUGACAAUUAUCUUUUACUAGGCAUACAUAUUAUAUUCGAACAAAUUCAAAAUUAGUUUAAAAUGAGAUAUAAAAUUGCUAAACGAAUUAUUUAGGUUAAAACGAACAAUCAAGAGAAUUUAACUUUGGAAGUCUGUCUUCGAUUGAACUUUAUUAGCUUAGACAGCCAAAACUUGCGCAUUUCUGAGAAUUGAAUCUUGCGAAUUACUCAAAGACUCAUGAGUAUUUAUGUCAGCACUCACUAUACUCGAAACAUAUAUCCUGCCCGCCUAUUUAUCUUCCAUUUCUUAUUUAUAUACGUCCGCCUGUCCAAAGAUUCUGAUGAAUACGGUUUAUAGAUAUACUGUCUCAAUGAAAUUCUAUACCAAAACAUUACUAUUUAUUUCUCUCACUGCAUUACGUGUUUAGCAUUUAAGUACUUAAGCACAAAUCGAAUAUGUUGAAGGAUGUUUUGGUUCUUCGAAGAUGCGAAGAAUCAAUGAAUCAAUAAGCUUUAGUGCCUCUGUAUGAUGAACAAAUCGAAUGGUUAUCGUUAAACAAACACAUACAAAUGUAUCGACGAACAAUUUUUAUACAAAUAUUACUGAUAAUCAUCGUUUGGAAGCAAUGUCAACUUUUAGUUUUAAGCGCACGAAAGUUUAUUAUGUACGAUCAAACGAUUUCGUUAAGGUGCUUUACAAAUCACUAUUUUUGGAUACCAAUUUUUUGUUUUCCCUUUGAUUUACACACACGAAAAACUGAAUAAAAUGUUAAUAUAAUUACAAAAACUAUUCACUUAUAUAAUUUGUAUACCUCUAUAUAUCCUAAGCUGUUUGGAAACGCACUAAAAUGGGGAUUGUUAAAGCAGGUCAUGUAACUUCCAUCCAGCCCCUCAAAAAACCAUGCUCCUUGUACGUGCUAAAUUACAAUUUGAAGUGCUCGAAUGAAAGUGCGUUGCCGUCGCCCACGCAGCUACCUCUGUCUGCUGGACCUGUUCGGCUGGACAGGUGGAUAGCCCGGCCAUGUGGGUGGCCACCAGGUGAACGGGGGGAACGUGUGCGGCUUUUGUAACAACUGCCGCUGACGAGGGCGACAAUUUAGUUUGCCCAACGGCGCUGGGGGAAUCAGAGUAACCAUAAAUUAUACUCCACAUUGCGAUGGGGCUGGCUGCCUUCUGGUGCUUCUGGUGCGCCGCAUGAAAGGCAUACAUAAACAAAAUUGUUAAAUAAUAGCGACAUUUAGCGGAAGUGUAGUGCCUGCCGCAUUCUGCAAACUUCAGCACGCGCGACAAACGAUCGCGGUCCUUAUGAUUUUCCACGAUUCACUCCCUCGCGUUUCCAUUUCGUCAAAUUAUAGAGGUGCUAGAAGCAAACUCAGCUCACCCCA